rnacentral:rRNA from 1 species
GUGUCAGCAGCCGCGGUAAGACGUAGGGGGCGAGCGUUACCCGGAAUUACUGGGCGUAAAGGGGGCGUAGGCGGUGAUACAAGUCAUCUGUGAAAACCUAUUGCUCAACGAUAGGCUAGCGGAUGAAACUGUAUUACUUGAGUGCACCAGAGGUAGACGGAAUUACCCGAGUAGGGGUGAAAUCCGCAGAUACGGGUAGGAACGCCGGUGGAGAAGUCGGUCUACUGGUCCAUUACUGACGCUGAGGUGCGAAAGCGUGGGGAGCAAACCGGAUUAGAUACCCGGGUAGUCCUAGCCGUAAACGAUGCUCACUAGGUGUAGGGAGUGAUAAACUCUCUGUGCUGAAGCGAACGCGCUAAGUGAGCCGCCUGGGGAGUACGUCCGCAAGGAUGAAACUUAAAGGAAUUGACGG